CAUGGAGUAUUUAAGACUUGGGACGACACUGCUGUUCAUCCUUGCGAUUGGAACAUGAUCACUUGUGCUGACGGUGUAGUCACUGUCUUGGAAGCUCCAAGCCAUAUUUGUCUGGUACUCUUGCCCCUACCAUUGGAAACUUGACAAAUCUCCAGCUUUUGAGCCUUCAGAAUAACAAUAUAUCAGGAAAUGUACCAUCGGGACUAGGGAAGCUUUCGAAGCUCGAAAACCUUG